rnacentral:rRNA from 1 species
UGGGGAAUAUUGCACAAUGGGCGCAAGCCUGAUGCAGCCAUGCCGCGUGUAUGAAGAAGGCCUUCGGUUGUAAAGUACUUUCAGCGGGGAGGAAGGCGAUAAGGUUAAUAACCUUGUCGAUUGACGUUACCCGCAGAAGAAGCACCGGCUAACUCCGUGCUAG